GCUUCAUUAGUUCCCUUUUACGUUCACACGAGCAGCGCGGCUCUAAAGCGGAGCAAAAGGUCGUGAUUCUAUGGACGUUUAUACCUUUUAAGCACAGAAUCAAUAAGCACAACAGGACUUCAUGGUGCUCCACUAACUCAGUUUCAUCUCAAAGUGACUUGCAACGGCACAUAUUCGAUGAAUCGGGGUGCCCGUCUUGUAAUGGAAUUUGCAUAGAUUCUUCUCAUCGAGAUAAAAGAAGCAGAUUAAAGAUAAAAUCAAAGGGAAUUGACAGUCCAGAACGUAUGAAAUCCUUGACAGCAUCCUGGCAGCCACCGAAAAUGUGUGACAGACCCAAUACGUUACUUCAAAGGCACCACAUCCAUAAGGAAUUUCAGGGAGUGCCAUCCAAAUGAGAAAACUGGGAUAUUGUUUCACCUGUAAAUAUGUAUCACACCCUUGUAAUUAAAAUAAUAAUA